rnacentral:rRNA from 1 species
GAGUUCAGACCCGCACGAAAGGUUGAACGACUUAGCGACUGUCUUGAGGAUAGACCCGGCGAAAUUGCAAUGGCUGUGAAGAUGCGGCCUUCCCAUACUUGGACAAAAAGACCCCGUGGAGCUUUACUGUAGCUUGGCCCUGAUUUAAAUUUAAAAUUGUGUAGCGUAGGAGGGAGCUUCGGCAACAAUGAAACACCUCUCUUUUUUAACUUUAGGUCUCACCUUAACCCUUAUAAAAACAGGGUUUGGGACAAGGUCUGGCGGGCAGUUUAACUGGGGCGGUUCCCUCCAAAAGAGUAACGGAGGGGUACUAAGGUACACUUAAGCCGUAAGGAAAUCGGCUGUCAAGCGUAAAGGUAUAGAGUGUGCUUAAUAGCGAGACUUACAAGUCGAGCUAAUACGAAAGUAGGUCUUAAUGAUCCCCUGAUGGUUCGUGGGAGCGUCAGGGCUUAACGGAUAAAAGCUACCCCGGGGAUACAAAUGUGUCCUGUCCCGAUAUAUAAUGAAAUCGGGACGAUAAUGCGGCUAAUAACGGUGGAAUCUAUCAAUUGAUGGUUUAGGUCUUACCAA